rnacentral:rRNA from 1 species
GUAAGGAAUAUUGGUCAAUGGACGAAAGUCUGAACCAGCCAUGCCGCGUGGAGGAUGAAGGUCCUCUGGAUUGUAAACUUCUUUUAUAUGGGACGAAAAUGGGGCUUUCUAGCUCAACUGACGGUACCAUAUGAAUAAGCACCGGCUAACUCCGUGCCAGCAGCCGCGGUAAUACGGAGGGUGCAAGCGUUAUCCGGAUUCACUGGGUUUAAAGGGUGCGUAGGUGGAUUGGUAAGUCAGAGGUGAAAUCUCCGGGCUCAACUCGGAAACUGCCUUUGAUACUAUCAAUCUUGAAUAUUGUGGAGGUUAGCGGAAUAUGUCAUGUAGCGGUGAAAUGCUUAGAUAUGACAUAGAACACCAAUUGCGAAGGCAGCUGGCUACACAUAUAUUGACACUGAGGCACGAAAGCGUGGGGAUCAAACAGGAUUAGAAACCCGUGUAGUCC